rnacentral:lncRNA from 1 species
CAGAAAUCUGAAUCUUGUUGUUUUUCCUGUCUGCCAGGUUAUCUGAUAAUGCUUUAUCUGAUUGCCUUUCCUGGUAGUCUGCCCAUUCCUUUGAGAUGGUGAUUUCCCAAUUCCUGAGACUAAUGGGAAGGUUCCCUCACCCUCUCCCUCCUUGCAGAGAAAACAUUUGGUAAGUUUGGGAGUCAAAAUGGUUUCAGGGCAGUCUUCCUGUGCUGCUCCAGACAUGUGGUCCACAUAUCUAUGUACAUGCUUGGUUGGUACAUUUAUGAACAUUUAUUAUAUAUAUAUAAGACCUUAAAUUUUUUAUUACAGGAGUUAUCCAACCCCCGAGCCAUCUGAAGGCAGCCCCGUCUAGGGAAGUUUUUUAAUGUUCAAUGUUUUAUUAUGUUUUUAUAUAUGUUGGAAGCCACCCAGAAUGGCUGGGACAACCCAGUCAGGUGGGCUGGCUACAAAUAGUAAAAUUAUUGUUAUGAAACAGGAUGUCCCUAUUUUCAUCAGGGAAAUGUUGGAGGGUAUGCACACACAUAUACAAGCCUUUCUGUCCCCAAACCAUGCCCUGUCCCUACUCACAGCCUUUACUGACCAUGCUCUGAUCCCCUCUUUAGUGUUUUUGCCUGACUGGAACGUGUCCUGGAAUUCUUCCCGGGGGGGGGGCUGCAUGUGUGUAUGUUUCUGAGCACAAUUCAGAGUGUUAGUGCUGACCUUUAAAGCCCUUUGCCCAGCAUACCUGAAGGGAGUGUCUCCACCCCUAUCGUUCAGGCCAGACACUGAGGUCCAGUUACAGGAAACUAGGCACAGGGCCUUCUCGGUAAUGGCACCCUCCCUGUAGAACACUUUCCCUUUAGAAGACAUCUGAAGGCAGCCUUGUACAGGGAAGCUUUUUAAGGUUUGAUGUUUUACUGUGCUCAAUGUUUUAAUUUGCUGGAAUCCAUCCAGAGUGGAUGGGGCAACCCAGUCUGAUUGGCGACAUAUAAAUUUGUUGUUGUUGUUAUUUGCUAAUAACUAGCCCAUGGGUAGGCAAACUAAGGCCUGGGGGCCAGAUCUGGCCCAAUCGCCUUCUCAAUCUGGUCUGGGAAUCAGCAUGUUUUUACAUGAGUAGAAUGUGUCCUUUUAUUUAAAAUGUUAUUUGUGGGGCAUAGGAAUUAGUUUUUGUUUGUUUGUUUUUUCAAAAUAUAGUCCGGCCCCCCAACAAGGUCUGCAGGACAGUGGACCGGCCCCUGCUGAAAAGGUUUGCUGACCCCUGAACUAGUCUCUUGUGCAAAAGUGACAUUUGCACUUGUUGCUUCACCCAAUUUUGCCUCUAGCCCUGCUCGACACUGACAUGAGAGAGGUUCCUCACCUCUGCCCAAAGGAGCGAUGUGGACUGGCUAUGGAAUUCGCUCUCACAGUGGCAGUGAUGACCACCAACCGAGAUGGCUUUAAAAGAGGCUAGGGCAAAUUCAUGGAGGAGAGAGCUAUCCACGACUGCUAGCCAAGAUGGCUAUGCCACACCUGGAGGCAGCGAUGCCUCUGAAAAACAGUUGCUGGAAACCGCAAGAGGAGAGGGUGCUCUUGUGGUUGAAUCCUGUUUGUGGGUUUCCCAUAGGCCUCUGAUUGGCCACAGUGACAACAGGAUGCUGGAAUAGACAAGCCCUGAUCCAGCACGACUUGUCUUAUGUUCAGGAGCUGGGUAAUAGGAAGGCAACCUAUUCCGAGGGUUGCAAUAUUUCAAAAAGUGAAAAUAAUCUGGACACAAAAGUUGUUGGGCUUUUGGGGGCAAAGUUGUUGAGGUAUUUUUAAGGAAAUUCACCAAAAUCUAGGCUUCCGACAUGGGCCUGGACACUGUUUGAGACAGCCAAAUCCCGGCUAUGGCCAGGAAAUUCCAGACAUAUGGCAACAAAUUCAUCCCUCACUGAUUCUUCUUUGAGUAACUUCCUGUAGGAUUAUUUCUCUUCAGACUUUACUUCCUCCCUGCUUCUUCUCCAGGUUUGUUGGUGUCAGUGUUAACUUCUUGACUCCAUGUUGACCACAUACAUGCUGGUAUCCAGAAUGGCUCUGCUUGCCACGAGCAAGAAACCUUAAAUUUCUUUAUUCUUUCAACGAGCAAUCUUGUUGUUGUUGUUUAGUUGUUUAAUCGUGUCCAACUCUUCAUGACCCCAUGGACCAGAGCAAGCCAGGCACUCCUGUCUUCCACUGCCUCCUGCAGUUUGGUUAAAUUCAUGCUGGUAGCUUCGAGAACACUGUCCAACCAUCUCGUCCUCUGUCGUCCCCUUCUCCUUGGGCCCUCAAUCCUUCCCAACAUCAGGGUCUUUUCCAGGGAGUCUUCUCUUCUCAUGAGGUGGCCAAAGUAUUGGAGCCUCAGCUUCAGGUUCUGUCCUUGCAGUGAGCACUCAGGGCUGAUUUCCUUCAGAAUGGAUACCGGUAGGUUUGAUGUUCUUGCAGUCCAUGGGAGUCUCAAGAGUCUCCUCCAGCACCAUAAUUCAAAAGCAUCAAUUCUUCGGCGAUCAGCCUUCUUGAUGGUCCAGCUCUCACUUCCAUACAUCACUACUGGGAAAACCAUAGCUUUUGCUUUGUUGGCAAGGUGAUGUCUCUGCUUUUUAAGAUGCUGUCUAGGUUUGUCAUUGCAGUCUUACGGGCUGUUUAUAUCUGCACUCCACUGCUAUUUGCCAUGGUUGUGUUAGCAUGUGCAGCUGUUGACUGGCACAUGUACAUCAGAUACAAAAAUCCCUUCUGUACAAAGUUCUGUGUUCGCCGGUCAGCUUCCCAUGGCAGCCCCAGACCCAGAUAGUGCAGAGCAGAGGCAUGGCAGGAAGGAAGGAAAACUAGGCAGGCACCUGAACAACAUGGCUUUGAAAGAGCUGGCUUGGCCAAGAUUUCCAAAUCCCUUGCUGCUGCUCCACUCCUCCUCCCCAAAUUGAUCUCAUCCCCCAUAGAUUAAUUUUUGCACAAUUAUCCCAGAGUCUGUGAUAAUCGCUCCAUAAAAAAAUGAAGAGAUUUGGGGGGCUUUGAAUGUGGAGGAUUAGGCUUUAAUACAAGUAAUCUGUAGGAGGCUUGGCUGAAUGUAUGCCACUAAUCACCCCUGCACCAUUUGCAGCUUCAGCCUUUCAUCAGUGUGUGUGUGUGUGUGUGUGUGUGUGUGUGUCAACUUCAUAACAGAAAAUGCAUACAAGCCAUCCGCUGACAGGUCAAGCCGAAAUGCAAUGCAUUUUCAGGCUGAUUCAGGAAUAGGAAAUUUCUGGGGUGGUGCCAUGUUGAAAGAGUUGAAGCUGGAGGUUCAUAUUGUUUCAUGCAUCCCACAAGUGAUGGAAUCACAGAAUGGGGCUACCUUUGAAGGUGACUCGGAAAAUACAACUAAUCCAGAAUGCAGCAGCUAGACUGGUGACUGGGAGCGGCUGCCAGGAUCUACACUGGCUCCCAGUACAUUUCUGAGCUCAAUUCAGAGUGUUGGUGCUGACCUUUAAAGCCCUAAAUGGCCUCGGCCCUAUGCACCUGAAGAACUGUCUCCACCUGUAUCAUCCACUGAGGUCUAGCUCCGAGGGCCUUCUGGUGGUUCCCUAAUUGUGAAAAGUGAAGUUACAGGGACCCAGGCAGAUGCCUUCCAUCAGAUGUCAAAGAGAGCCACUCAAAGUGGCUGGGGCAAUCCACCUGUUGUUGUUGUUGUUGUUGUUGUUGUUGUUGUUGUUGUUGUUGAAACUUGGACCUUCUGCAUGCAAAGUAGUUGCUCCAACACUGAACAAUGGCCCUUUCCCAAAUGAGCAUGGAGAAACAAGUUAGCAGGGCAGGUCUCUCCAACAGCAUCCGUUUCACAAGAGCAACAAAAAUUCAGCUGGAUCAUACCAGUGGCCCAUCCUGUUCUCAUGGUGGCCAACCAGUUGCCUGUGGGCAGGAUCUGAGAGCAAGAGCCAUCUCUCCUCCUGCAGUAACUAGUUUUCAGUAACUAGUUUUCAGAAUCAUUACUGCCUCCAUAGCCAUUUUGGUCAGCAGCCAUGAAUAGCUCUCUUCUCCAUCGAUUUGUCCAAUCCUCUUUUGAAGCUGUCCAGGUUGGUGCCCAUCGCUGUUUAACUGCUGCAAGAAGAGCUACUUUAUCUGCCCCGAAUCCUCUAACAUUCAGCUUCCCUGGGUGCCCACCAGUCCCAGCGUUCAUGAAGAAGAGCAACUUUUCUCCAUCCACUUUCUCUAUGCCAUCCAAACUUCUAUGAUGUCACUUCUUAAGUUGCCUUUUAUCUGAACCAAAAAGCCCGUGGGGGUGUGGCCUAAUGAGAGGGGGCGUGGCCUACAGGGAGCUUAGAAGGCCAGGUAGAAGGGUCUGGAGAGCCACAUUAGGUCCCCAUGCCUGAGGUUCCUCAAACCAUAGAAAUACACCUACUAGAAGCAUUUAAAGGUAGUAGUAGUAGUAGUAUUAAGGUCCGUAUAGUAAAAGCUAUGGUUUUCCCAGUAGUGAUGUAUGGAAGUGAAAGCUGGACCAUAAAGAAAGCUGAUCGCCAAAUAAUUGAUGCUUUUGAAUUAUGGUGCUGGAGAAGACUCUUGAGAGUCCCACGGACUGCAAGAAGAUCAAACCUCUCCAUUCUUAAGGAAAUCAGCCCUGAGAGCUCACUGGAAGGACAGAUCGUGAUGCUGAGGCUCCAAUACUCUGGCCACCUCAUGAGAAGAGAAGACUCUCUGGAAAAGACCCUGAUGCUGGGAAAGAUGGAGGGCACAAGGAGAAGGGGACAACAGAGGACGUGGUGGUUGGACAGUGUUCUCGAAGCUACCAGAAUGAGUUUGACCAAACUGCGGGAGGCAGUGGAAGACAGAAGUGCCUGGCGUGCUCUGGUCCAUGGGGGUCACGAAGAGUCGGCCACAACUAAACAACUAAACAACAACAACAACAAAGCAGUAGUAUUUAAGCUGGCUUUUGUUGACUGAGAACAAGGACGAUUCAUGUAUCCCCAUUAACACAUUGCUUUGUCCUUCGUUAGGACACCAGAAGACACCAGAACGGAGCAUAGAUGAGCAGGUUCUAAAAAUACGACUUGAUUUGACCAUUCACCUAACAUCCAUUGUCUGGGCUUUUCAUUUUCUCGGAACAAAAGAGUCAGAAAAAUCCUUCCUCUGCAUUCGCUCCAUCCCAGGAGGACUCUCUUUUUGACAGCGCUGCUGCUCUGGGGCUUCUGCAGCCACCGGCAAACAAGGAACUGUCUGCCCCCUACGCCCUGACCAGGAACGCUUGCGCAAAACUUGCAGCCACAGCCUCUCACCGCAGACUUCCUGCUUAUCUUGCAUUUGCUAGCCAACGUUUGAGAAACCCAAAGAACAGAUGCGUCCCUCUCUACCCCUGCAACCCCAAGGUUUUCAUCCUCUCUAAACCAUCUCGAAAGAGAAGCCCAUACAACUAUAUUGGGUGUGUUCUAAAGAGAGAGAGAGGACUAAAUUUGGACCACUUCUGAAAAAGGCACAUUAAAGCAAAAUUAUUAAGAUGCUUCAUAUUAAGCACAGUUCUUUGUUUAUUACCUACAUU